rnacentral:misc_RNA from 1 species
CCUAGAGUUGUAGGCUCUUGCCUGCUAUCUCUUACCCAUGUCUUUUGAGUACCUUCGUUUCCUCGGCGGGUCCGCCCGCCGAUUGGACAAUUUAAACCAUUUGCAGUUGCAAUCAGCGUCUGAAAAAACUUAAUAGUUA